GCGCUCAACCUUGGGAACUGCAUCUGAUACUGGCAAGCUUGAGUCUCGUAGAGGGGGGUACAAUUUCCAGGUGUAGCGGUGAAAUGCGUACAGAUCUGGAGGAAUACCGGUGGCGAACGCGGCCCCCUGGACGAACACUGACGCUCAGGUGCGAAAGCGUGGGGAGCAAACAGGAUUACAUACCCUGGUAGUCCACGCCGUAAACGAUGUCGACUUGGAGGCUGUGCCCUUGAGGCGUGGCUUCCGGAGCUAACGCGUUAAGUCCACCGCCUGGGGAGUACGGCCGCAAGGUUAAAACUCAUAAUGAAUUUGACGGGGGCCCCGCACAAGCGGUGGGAGCAUGUGGUUUUAAUUCGAUGCAACGCGAAGAACCCUUCACCUGGCUCUUGACAUCCCCGGAGGUUUUCAGAGAUGAGUACUGUGCCUUCCGGGACCGCUGAGACAGGCUGCUGCAUGGCUCGUCGUCAGCUCGUGUUGGAUGUAAGUGUUGGGUUCAGGUUCCCGCAACGAGCGCAACCCUUUAUUCCUUUGUUGCCAGCGGUCCGGACCGGGAACUGCAAAGGAGCCUUGCCGGUGAUAGACCGGAGGAAGGUGGGCAUGACGUCAAGCCAUCCUGGCCCUUUACGGCCAGG
rnacentral:rRNA from 1 species